rnacentral:lncRNA from 1 species
GCUCAGUGAUCUGACAAAGUAGUUCUAUUGAAGUCUGCCUUUAAUAAGCAAAGCAGCUGUUCACCAAUGUGGUGUCUGGACUAAGAAGAAAAGACAGGAAAUAGCAACAACAGAGGAAAAAGAGGAAAUACUUUUGGCAGGUCUUCUGACGGUCACAUCAAGGGUCUCCCCACCCACCCUAAUGGAAACCCGCAGGGCACUUUGUCACCUGAGAGUUCCCCAUGCUGUUGACACGGCACACUACAGCAACAUAAUCAAACCAGAGAAGAGAUGCAGUCCAAGU